rnacentral:tRNA from 1 species
AGGGAAGUAGCUCAGUGGUAGAGUACUUGCCUAGUAUGCAAAGCCCUGGGUUUGAUCCCCAGCAUUGCAA